GACCCAUUAGGGGUUAGACCAUAGCAAGGAUCAGCGUUGCAUUAGAAAACGGAAGACAGAAA
rnacentral:ncRNA from 1 species